UCAUUAUUCUAUGUUUAACACAGCAGAAGCAACAAAAAGUAUUUUUUACUUUGGUUGUCUUGCAGACAGCAUGCAAAUUUAUAGCAUAAUUUAUUUCUAAGUGAAUAAUUGUAGGAUUUUGGUGCUAAGGUAUAUUUUCUCCUGAUUCUUACCUGUGGUUUGUUCAAUCAACCCAGUUUUUCCCAACAGAUUCACUGAAACAGAACUAAACCUGGCAGCUUGAUUUGCCUGACAUGCUAGGCUAAAAUCUGAUCAGCUUUUAUGGUUCAGUCUAUCCUUGAACACAGCCAGUAUCUGACAGUCUUUCAAGGAUGGCUGCUUAGAAACAAGCAGUAUGCCUAUCUGACUGGUCUGCCUUCUGUGUGCAAAUUCAUAUUGCUUAAAGGAAGAUUUGGCCUUGGUGCAACUGGAGAAGGAAAUCAGUCGCCCCUUAAUUUUUAUCUUAAUUGUUCACAUGACAUGUGAUGCCUAAAUGAGCCAACCAAAUUUAGUCAAGUUGUGAGAAUCCAGCCUGAGUGAUAGCUGGGAUUUGAUGCUGGGCAAACCCAGAAUAUUGACUUGAUUGACCAAAUUGUGGUUCAGGGAGCCAUGAGUAACUGUUUGAGCACAGUUCAAACAUUGAAUUUAUUUAUAGGGUACGUCAAGAGGAAGGCCGAUCCUAAUUUUACUACAAAACUGCUUAGAAAACCGAUGGAAUCAAUGUAUUUUUUAAAAAAUUCAGUACCUGUAUUGCUAAUAAGGCAGAUAUUUGUUAUUUUCAAUGACUUGGCUAUUCCUUCAUUAGUCAUGGUUUAUUGAAUUGGCUUGGUUUGCACAACAUAGCUAUACAAAACACGGGAAUGGAGUCAUACAAUGUGCUAAGCAAAGAUAAAACCAACCAGGUUACAUAAUGGAACAGAUUGCCUCAGGAGGUGUUGGAUUCUCAGAAGUGUUUGAAUAGGUUGGCUGGUCAUUUAUGAGGGAUGAUGUAGUGAUGGACACCUAGACUGCCCAGAAGGUUGGGCUAGAUGAUCUUCAAGGCCUUUCCUUAGACUGUAUGAUUCUACACUAAAGCUAUGCUAAAGCAUGUUCUGUGAAUUAGUACAGUACAACCAUGUAGCUUUUCAGAUACACUAUAUUGAUUCCCCUCCUUAUCUGAACAUCUUGUUAAAUGACCUCUUUUAUGUUUUAGGGGAUCUUUGGAUUCUGGAAACUGGAAGACAGUUUGAGGCCUUGUUUCUCAUUGACAUGGGCAGACAACAUGCCUGCACGUUGAUUACUAGUACUGAUGGUCUCAUAUAUUCUGUGAGGUGGAAGAAAAAGCAAUUUUAUAUCUACAGACGGCACAAAAAUGAAGAAAACAUAAAUGGAAGUUCUAAUAAUAGGAGAAGGAAGAGGAAGAAAAGAUAUAAAUACACGCAGAAACUCACAAUUUGAAACCCACACCAGUAGGGGGUGAUCUUUCCUAUGAGUAUCAUAUAAAUUGAGAUAAGAAAGGAACUCAAGGCAAUGCUCGUGAGUGAGCUAUUCAGCAACAGCCCUGUGAGGAAGUCAAGCCCAAAGCCUGCCCUGCCGCCCGUCUUUCUGCGCAGCCCUGAGGUCUGGGAACCACACGCUUUACCCGCCCUCUGGCAGCUUUCGCAGGCCAGUCGGGCUGCUCCCCCCUCCCCUUUCGCUCUGUCUGUGUGCGCCCGCGCGCAUGUGCGUGGCUUCGCUCGCCUUUUGCAGAACGGCGAGGAGGAGGAGGAGGAGAAGCGAGCCGGGGGAGGCGGCGCCGGUUCCUGGAAGAGCCCAGCCUGGGGAGUUGGU